GCCAUCGCGCAAAUUUCUAUUACCAGAAUUCAUACUCACUGUAGACAUUAUAGUUUGAGGAGAAAAUAACAAACAAUUUUUUACAGAAACAAGACCUCUGCUUAUAUCAUUAAAGUAGGGGGAAAAGUUGUACAAUCACUCUGCUUAUAUCAUUAAAGUAGGGGGAAAAGUAUACUACCUCCGUCCAAGUGUAUAAGGCAUGCGCGUAGUUCUAGGUUGUCAAUUUAACUAGCU
rnacentral:lncRNA from 1 species